GGAAAGCUCCGCGCUGCGCUGCGGCCUCCCGGGGACCAAGAACAGACCCCGCCCCACUGGCGAUUCGCUGCUCCCCGGCGCUGCUUCCGCCACCCUAUGAAGGGCCACUCGCCGUCCGUGUUGCCUCUGUCUCUUCGGAAACAUUUCCACGACAAACAACCCCCCGCCCUCAAGGCGCCGCUCGGACCUCGGGCUCCUGCAAGACCAAGGGGAUCAUGGUAGAGUCUCCCCGAGCGCAGUAGAACAGCACCCCCGUGUGGCCCUGUCCUCCGGAACCCGCGGAAUGGCCGGAUUCGUGGGCUGCAGCAGAGACCCGCCAGACCUAUGCUAAGAGACACUGAAGACCAGAGCUGCCAUGCAAGAACUUUAACUGCCCUGAGGCCACCAUGAUUAGAGGAAGCCCAAACCAGCCCACACGGAGAGACCACGUGGAGAAGCCCUGUGACUACAAGGAGAGAGAGAGAGCUGCCCACACACCCCCAGCUGGUACCUCAACUGGGACACCCCACUGUCCCAGCUUCAGCCACCAGCUAAUUACAUCCAUAUGGGAUCCCAAGGCAGAACUGCCCAGCUGGACUCUUCCCCAAAAUCUGACCACAGACAUGGAAGAAGGUUACUGCUUUACUACCCAUCAGGAGGAAGGAAGAAUUUCUUCUUGCCCAGCAACGGUCCAGCCACUGAAAGGCUGUUACAAAUCAGCCAAAGAAAAGCAAUUAAACUUCAAGUUCCCAGUUUCUUCCACUGGACUCUUUAUAACAUCCCCUCCCAACUCUCCCUUCUCCUCUAUAAAAGAAUGUCCCUCUCCUUUGUUCUCCCCACUUGCUUGUGCCUUACCGUAGAAUCCAUGUCCCAAAUUGUAAUUCUCUGCUAUUC